rnacentral:rRNA from 1 species
GACGAACGCUGGCGGCGUGCUUAACACAUGCAAGUCGAACGGAAAGGCCCUGCUCUUGUGGGGCGCUCGAGUGGCGAACGGGUGAGUAACACGUGAGUAACCUGCACCUGACAUUGGGAUAAAUUCAGGAGACAGGGGCUAAUACCGGAUAGGAGCUACUGCUGCAUGGGGGGGGAUGGAAAGUUACGGCGGUUGUGGAUGGAUUAGCGGCUUAUCAGCUUGUUGGUGGGGUAGUGGAUUACCAAGGCUUUGACGGGUAGCCGGCCUUAGAGGGUGACCGGCCACAAUGGUACUGAGAGACGGCGCAGACGGCUACGGGACGCAGUAGUGGGGAAUAUUGCACAAUGGGCCGAAGCCUGAUGUAGAGACGCCGCGUGCGUGAUGACCGCCUUCUGGUUAUAAACCGCUUUCUCCUGAGACGAAGCGUGAUUGACGGUAAUGAGUAAAGAAGCACCGGCUAACUACGUG